GACGUUGAAUAUCGACGUCAUAAACACCAAAGUUGAUCGUGUUUAUGACGUCGAAUAUCGACGUCAUCAACACCAAAGUUGAUCGUGUUUAUGACGCCGAAUAUCGACGUCAUAAACACCAAAGUUGAGCGUGUUUAUGACGUCGAAUAUCGACGUC